CGCUACGCCUGUCACACUGUGGCAGACAGCGGAGCUGGCAGCAUGAGGCGCGGCUCUUCUAGUCCACCCAUGCCGCCAGCGGGAGGAGAGGGGGAGUUGGAAGGGUCGGACGUAAAGAGCAAGUGAUGGCCCCGGGAGCAGAGAGCUUCUUACUACUGACUGCAGUACUGCGAGGAGCCACUAGAUGCCCCCAUCUCCAUAGAGCCAUCUCACCUGCCUGAAGGAACGAGAGAUAGACAGCCCGAGACCCUGUGUGUAGUAGCAUAUGUUAGCAUCACUGCUGCCUCAGCUAACAGUGUCCACAUCAGGAACUUCUUCACAUCAGGAACUGUCCACACAGCAGGAACUUCAACUGAAUGGGCUGACUUCAUGUGCUGGCUGAAGGGCAAGAUGUCUGCGCGGUGGAGAUCUGUUAGGGAAACAGGUGGAGGGCGACUCCCUGAGAGUCUACAAUACACGGCCUUGGAGUAGCUCGCCUUGGGUGGUGUGGCCGAUGAGGAGGUGGCAGGCGUGUUCGAGAUGGACACAGACAUGCCUGCCCUUGAUUCUCUGCAAGUCUUGCCAGCACAGGAGGUGCAGCUCACCGAGGCUGGGGAGGGUGUUUCAGACAACAUCUCAGGUGUGGGCUCAGGAAGACCACCACCUUGGGAACACACCGAGGCACUCCCCCAAUCCACUCUCCAGGAGUUUCUGUUGCAAAUAGAACACCAAGGGCAAACUAAUGCUGAGUUUCAGCAACAGAUGCUCCUUGAGGUCUGUGAGCUCACCUCCACUAUGCAUCAAGGCAUGCGUGAGAUAACCUUCCUUCUUAGCCCCAUUGCAGGCCAUUGCAGCCCUUAGUGGUGAGACUCUCACUGCCCCAAUCCCUACCCAGGAACAAGAUCUCACUGGACAGGGCCCUCGCAGAUCCAUACACAGAUCCCAUUCACCAGAACCACCCCUUAAGCCGGCAAAUAAAAGGGGCAGACGGUGAUUCUCUCCAGAUGCGCUCCUUGGUUCCUGCCAACAUAUUCUUUGGGACAUACUGAAUUCUCUCAGUGGCUUGCGGGACAAGAAUGUCCAACUCCAUCCUGCCAUGGGUUGAUGUUUUUUUUCUCUUUACCUGGCUGCAAUUCAGUAGAAUGUAAACUUUAGUCAGCUUCCUCUUCUGUUUGUGGGCCUGAUUGUUGUGUCUGGGUACUGGGACCAGUUUCUUCUUCUGUUUGGCUCACAUAUUCCUCAGCCAGGGUACUGACCAGCUUUUUGGUCUGUUUGUUGCAGAGAUGGAGAUAACUGACAACUGGGUACUGUAAGCCUCUUUUCUGCACAGCCAGGUGUUUGUUUUGUUUUGUAUUUAUUAAUAAAAU